AUUAUGGCUCAGAUUGAACGCUAGCGGGAUGCCUUACACAUGCAAGUCGAACGGCAGCACGGACUUCGGUCUGGUGGCGAGUGGCGAACGGGUGAGUAAUGUAUCGGAACGUGCCUAGUAGCGGGGGAUAACUACGCGAAAGCGUAGCUAAUACCGCAUACGCCCUACGGGGGAAAGCAGGGGAUCGCAAGACCUUGCACUAUUAGAGCGGCCGAUAUCGGAUUAGCUAGUUGGUGGGGUAACGGCUCACCAAGGCGACGAUCCGUAGCUGGUUUGAGAGGACGACCAGCCACACUGGGACUGAGACACGGCCCAGACUCCUACGGGAGGCAGCAGUGGGGAAUUUUGGACAAUGGGGGAAACCCUGAUCCAGCCAUCCCGCGUGUGCGAUGAAGGCCUUCGGGUUGUAAAGCACUUUUGGCAGGAAAGAAACGUCAUGGGCUAAUACCCCGUGAAACUGACGGUACCUGCAGAAUAAGCACCGGCUAACUACGUGCCAGCAGCCGCGGUAAUACGUAGGGUGCAAGCGUUAAUCGGAAUUACUGGGCGUAAAGCGUGCGCAGGCGGUUCGGAAAGAAAGAUGUGAAAUCCCAGAGCUUAACUUUGGAACUGCAUUUUUAACUACCGAGCUAGAGUGUGUCAGAGGGAGGUGGAAUUCCGCGUGUAGCAGUGAAAUGCGUAGAUAUGCGGAGGAACACCGAUGGCGAAGGCAGCCUCCUGGGAUAACACUGACGCU
rnacentral:rRNA from 1 species